rnacentral:lncRNA from 10 species
ACUCAGAGGCUGUACAACACUGUGGGGACCGGCUUAAAAUGCUGAAUAUUUCAUAUAAAACAAACCUAAAAUGAUUCUGAAAGGUGGAGAGAAAAAAGCAGACCAGCUAAAAGCCUCAGAACUUAAGUAUUGAGUCACCUGAGACUUUUGCAUUUCUGAUGACCAGAUGACUUCACUCAUGACUGAACUGGUCCUGUGUUCCCCACCCAGAAGCAGACUCAGUCACAAAGGACCAUUUUCCACACUCCUAUAAUUGCAUCCCCAACUAAUCAGCAGCACCCAUUGCCUAGCCCCCUGCCUGCCAAACUAUUUUUU